AGAGUUUGAUCAUGGCUCAGAUUGAACGCUGGCGGCAGGCCUAACACAUGCAAGUCGAACGGUAACAGAAAGCAGCUUGCUGCUUUGCUGACGAGUGGCGGACGGGUGAGUAAUGUCUGGGAAACUGCCUGAUGGAGGGGGAUAACUACUGGAAACGGUAGCUAAUACCGCAUAACGUCGCAAGACCAAAGAGGGGGACCUUAGGGCCUCUUGCCAUCGGAUGUGCCCAGAUGGGAUUAGCUAGUAGGUGGGGUAAAGGCUCACCUAGGCGACGAUCCCUAGCUGGUCUGAGAGGAUGACCAGCCACACUGGAACUGAGACACGGUCCAGACUCCUACGGGAGGCAGCAGUGGGGAAUAUUGCACAAUGGGCGCAAGCCUGAUGCAGCCAUGCCGCGUGUAUGAAGAAGGCCUUCGGGUUGUAAAGUACUUUCAGCGGGGAGGAAGGGAGUAAAGUUAAUACCUUUGCUCAUUGACGUUACCCGCAGAAGAAGCACCGGCUAACUCCGUGCCAGCAGCCGCGGUAAUACGGAGGGUGCAAGCGUUAAUCGGAAUUACUGGGCGUAAAGCGCACGCAGGCGGUUUGUUAAGUCAGAUGUGAAAUCCCCGGGCUCAACCUGGGAACUGCAUCUGAUACUGGCAAGCUUGAGUCUCGUAGAGGGGGGUAGAAUUCCAGGUGUAGCGGUGAAAUGCGUAGAGAUCUGGAGGAAUACCGGUGGCGAAGGCGGCCCCCUGGACGAAGACUGACGCUCAGGUGCGAAAGCGUGGGGAGCAAACAGGAUUAGAUACCCUGGUAGUCCACGCCGUAAACGAUGUCGACUUGGAGGUUGUGCCCUUGAGGCGUGGCUUCCGGAGCUAACGCGUUAAGUCGACCGCCUGGGGAGUACGGCCGCAAGGUUAAAACUCAAAUGAAUUGACGGGGGCCCGCACAAGCGGUGGAGCAUGUGGUUUAAUUCGAUGCAACGCGAAGAACCUUACCUGGUCUUGACAUCCACGGAAGUUUUCAGAGAUGAGAAUGUGCCUUCGGGAACCGUGAGACAGGUGCUGCAUGGCUGUCGUCAGCUCGUGUUGUGAAAUGUUGGGUUAAGUCCCGCAACGAGCGCAACCCUUAUCCUUUGUUGCCAGCG
rnacentral:rRNA from 1 species